GAUGGCACAGAUGGGCUGGGGGAUCUCAGGGUGGAUGGAGGUGAUCCAGAGAGGAGCAGCCCUGCUUGGGAACUAUCCUGGAUUUGGGGAGGCUCAUUCUGCUCUUCCCCGGGUGAAAUUUGUUUCCAGGCUGCAGGAAGUCGGCAAUGACACAAAGCCUGGGCUGGAAACAGCAUCAUUUACUCCUCCCAGGUUUGAGCUUUCUCAGGGCUGAGGCGUUUCAGGGGAUGUUGCACAACCACCUCCAGAACACCCUGACCGCGGCACCACCCCAAAGCCGGGCAGGGAUGCUCCCAGAGAGUCAAUGCUCCCUGGGCACAUGGAUCCAUCCCAGGGAUGCUCAUCCCACAGGCCUGAGCCCCUUUUCUUCCCUCUCCCAGCCUCCUGGCGAGGUGUUUCGGAGCAGGGAUGGGCCGGGGUUUCCGAGGAGGGGGAGGUUGUUGACACCCCGAGCCCGUUCCUGCGGAUGUGCCUCUUGCAGCACCUUCCUGCGGCUGCGCCUCCCUCCCGGGAGCUGCGGUUGGGGCGGGGGGUUUCCUGUCGUGCCAGUGCCACGAGGCCGGGACAACACCCGGGACAACACCCGGGACAACACCCAGGACAACACCCAACAGUCCCCGCAGCCCCAGCAGAGCCCCUCCGAGCAUCCUGGGGUGAUGCAGAGAGAAGCAGCCACACGCGAGGGCUGUGCAAAACCAUCAGGUCACAUCCUCACCCUCCUGCACCUCGUGUGCUAAAGCGUUUCCUCCCGGUGCUGAAGCAUCUCGGGGCACCCUGGCCCCCUCCCUGGCCAUGCCCACACCGUGCCCGCGGGGGUGGCAGCCCUGGCACCAGGUUCGCCGUCACUUCUCCUUUCGGAGCGACGCGAGCCCCGGCGCGCAGCUGCUCCGCGGGGCCGCCGGUGGGGCCGAGCCCUCCGAGGCAGCCCCUCUUUUUUGGGGUGCAGCCCACGUCCUGCCACCCUCCCCGGGGCUGCCCGCAGCCCCCAGCCCGCCGUGGCCCCGCUCUCGGCGUGACGCCCUUCCUCCCCCGCGGGCUCUGGAAACCGCAGCCGCUUUUCCGCGCUGCCUCCCUUCCCCGCCCGGCCGGAGGUGCCGGAGGAGGGUGGCCCACGACACCCCGCGGGUGCCGGUGCUGGGCUGGCUGCCCUCGCCCCCUGUGCCAGCCCUCGCCCGCGAGUCCUGCACUUGGGAUCCCACCGCGCUCCUCGGCACAGGUCCCAUGGCGCUGGGCCGGGCCGUGCUGGUGCUGCUGGUGCUGAGCCCCCUGUGGGUGUGUGGGGCUGAGCUGCUGGAGCCGAGGGUGCCCCAGGGCGGGCAGUGGGUCUGGGGGGAGGCCGAGCCCCUGCCCGUCUCCCGUGGGAAGAGGGAUGACAGUGGGCAGGAACCCAGUGCCACCACAAUGAUCAGCAGUGACAAGAGCGAUGUGCCACCACCAGCACCCGGCACCAACGCCAGCCUGCUCCGGGUGCCAGCCACAGCCGAUCCCAUGGAUGAUUCCCCCGAGCCUGAGCUGCUCCCGAGCUCUGCAGCACCAGCACCCAGCACCAACACCAGCCUGCUCCGGGUUCUUGUAGCGUCCACCACAGCCGAGUCUAUGGAUGAAACAGAUUCCCCUAAACCCGACUUACUGGAGGACUCUGCAGCACCAGCAGUGCCCAGUGCCAGCACCAGCCUGCUCCGGGUGUCUGUAGUGCCCACCACAGCUGAUCCCAUGGAUGAGACAGAUCCCCCUGAUCCCGACCUGCUCCCGAGCUCUGCCCCACCACCAGCACCCAGCACCAAGGCUAGCUGGGCACUUGUGGUGCCAACCACAGCUGAUCCCAUGGAUGAGACUGAUUCCCCUGCUCCCGAUCUGCUGCCAGGCUCAGAGCCUGGCACGCCAUCAGCAGCCCAAAAGAGCAUCACCACCACCACCCCCAGCUGGCUCACAACACCCAUCGAGGAGGACACAGUGACUGAUGACCUGGACGGCAGCUCCUCCACGGGGCCACGCUCCACAGCCGCCCCAGCCCUUGUGCUCAGCAGCACGGGCUACAAGAAACCCAAAAAAUCCGGAGCUCCGCCUGCACCGACCCUCCCGGCCGCCUUGGACACGACACCGGCGGCCACCGCGGUGCCCUGGGAGCCCAGCG
rnacentral:lncRNA from 1 species